GGAUGUGAGGGAGAUCUGGCUGCAACAUCUGUCACCCAAUUGAUCGCCAGGGUUGAUUCGGCUGAUCUGGCUGGCUAGGCGAGUGUCCCCUUCCUCCCUCAACGAUCCAUGUGCGUCCCUCCCGAAGCUGCGCGCUCGGUCGAACAGGACGAACACCCCUGAUAGAGGAGGAAUGUUCCUUGGUCAGGGGUAUACGAGUAGCUGCGCUCCCCGGCUAGAAGCUCCAAACAAGCUCUCAAAUCUCAUCUCCUAAACUGAUCUGACAUUCUUACUUCAGUUAAAAUAAAAAUUCUCUCACUAUCUCAGAUUCAGCGUGAACUUCU
rnacentral:snRNA from 1 species